GACAGAGGGUGCAAACGUUGUUCGGAAUUACUGGGCGUAAAGCGUGUGUAGGCGGCCGCGCAAGUCGGAUGUGAAAGCCCUGGGCUCAACUCAGGAAGUGCACCCGAUACUGCGUGGCUCGAGUACCGGAGAGGUUGGUGGAAUUCUCGGUGUAGAGGUGAAAUUCGUAGAUAUCGAGAGGAACACCUGUGGCGAAGGCGGCCAACUGGACGAGUACUGACGCUGAGGCGCGAAAGCUAGGGGAGCAAACAGG
rnacentral:rRNA from 1 species